GUAAUAACAUGCAGUUUCACAAUUAAUUUCUUGAGUUAAUUUUUUUAAAACCAUCACCAGGGGAAAGUGGUCCCCCUGUUGAAGUCGCACCGCACUUUAUGUAUAAACCACGGUCAUGGUAAAAAAUUCUAGAAUUUUACUCUGUGACCUUGACUGGUAUUUUAUAAAGUUUAUUUUGUAAUUUAACUAACAAUGAGUACAAUACCAUGCACUUAUUUUACAUGACAGGAUUUGAAUAUUUGGUAGGUUUGGUAUAUAAUCAAAGGCAG